CCACUAUAUCUCAGGGUAUAUGGUAGCGUCAAAGUAAUGCUAGGUGUGAAUAUGUAUAUGCUUGUAUUCACAUAACAUGGUAUGACCCUUGAAAAUUGGAUUUCUUCAAAUUAAUUGCUGGAUCAAUAUUACAAUUCAUAACCAAUACGUUAGGAUCAUGUUGUUGUAAGUUAUUUCUUCCAUUUACUUAUAUACUCAC
rnacentral:lncRNA from 1 species